GACACAGUGUCAAAUGCCUUGGCGAAGUC
rnacentral:sRNA from 1 species